GACGAACGCUGGCGGCGUGCUUAACACAUGCGAGUCGAACGGAAAGGCCCUGCUUUUGUGGGGUGCUCGAGUGGCGAACGGGUGAGUAACACGUGAGUAACCUGCCCUUGACUUUGGGAUAACUUCAGGAAACUGGGGCUAAUACCGGAUAGGAGCUCCUGCUGCAUGGUGGGGGUUGGAAAGUUUCGGCGGUUGGGGAUGGACUCGCGGCUUAUCAGCUUGUUGGUGGGGUAGUGGCUGACCAAGGCUUUGACGGGUAGCCGGCCUGGGAGGGUGACCGGCCACAUUGGGCCUGCGAUACGGCCCAGACUCCUACGGGAGGCAGCAGUGGGGAAUAUUGCACAAUGGGCGGAAGCCUGAUGCAGCAACGCCGCGUGCGGGAUGACGGCCUUCGGGUUGUAAACCGCUUUCGCCUGUGACGAAGCGUGAGUGACGGUAAUGGGUAAAGAAGCACCGGCUAACUACGUG
rnacentral:rRNA from 1 species